rnacentral:lncRNA from 1 species
AUGCCCCUUGCAAAAGAUCUCCUGCAUCCCUUUCCAGAAGAGAGGAAGAGGAAACAGAAGAAGUGCCUGGUGCGGAGCCCCAGUUCCCACUUCAUGAUGUGAAACGCCCAGAAUGCUAUAAAAUCACAUUUGUUAGCCAUGCACAAACAGUAGUUUUGUGUGAUGGCUUCUCCACCGUCCUCUGCCAGCCCACAGGAGGAGAAGCAAGACUUCCAGAAGCCUGAUCCCUCAGGAGGAAGCAGCA